CUUUCCUUUCGUUUUAAGGCUGAAUAAUGUUCCAUUGUAUGUCUACGCCACAUUUUGCUUAUCCAUUCAUCCCUCAGUGGACACUUGGGCGGCUUCCACCUUUUAGCCAUUGUGAAUAGUGCUGCUUGGAACACGGAUGUGCAAACACCUGCUCAAGAGGCUGCUUCCAACUCUGGCGCACAUCCAGAAGUGGCAUUGCUGGACCAGAUGGUAUGCCGGCCUGCAGCGAGGGUCCACUCUAGGUGUCUCCACUCUGUGGCAAGUGGGGUAAAACAGAAGGGGCUUUUGUGGGGGGCGGUGCUUCAUUUCAGGGGCAGUAUUAGAAAGCUCCCUGUGGCUACAUAUUUAAGAUGUUCUUUUCUUCAGCCUUUUCCUAGCAAUAAAGUUGGUAUCUUGAUCCCCACCUAUCUGUCUUCUGAAUAUAUUUCUUAUGUGAGUUCUUUGUGAACUCAAGAAAGAAGGUAAAAACAUGAUCUGCUGGACCCCUAAACCUUAACCCAGACCACAAAAUCAAAAUCAGUAGGCAUUUAAUUUAAUACAAAAACCUCACAUUUCAUCUACGAGUUUACUGUUCUUAUAUAUUCUGCUGCUCCUAUAUGAUUAUAUUUCCUGCAGGAUGGCGGGAGUGAAUGUGCCUGAUGUGAUUUGGAGUGUAGUUUCCAAAAUUAAGAGGGCCAGAGCCCCACAAAGGCUUUAAAGAGGCUUUAAAGAGGUCAGGUAAGCCUGAGACCGGCCUACAGUCUCUGUUCCAGAUGGACGGCAGGUUUGUGACGGGAGCAGGCGGUGCGGGUGAGGGUGUCCAUGGAGUAAAAAGUUCUAAAAUAGUUUGCCUGUUGGAUUGCUGCAAACCACGCUGCAUUUGCCCCUAGAAAACAUUCUGGGUUUCAGCCACACGGUGUUGAGUCCGCUUAGUCUAAAGGGACAGAGAAGUGGUGUUAGUGUCAGUGGGCCGCCCCUCAGGGCUAAGAUCUAUGGCAUUUAUGCUGUUUUGUUUUGUUCAAUCCUUGUAUGCACGCCUCACUACAACCCUGUGGAUUGAGGAUGAUAUUAGCCUUGUUUUACAUCUGAGGACUCUGAGACUUACAGAGUCAAGUCGUUUGCCCGAGGUCACACAGCUAGCAGGUGCCGCCCCUGGGUUCUGACCCGCUCCCUGCGACUCCGCUCUUCGUACUGACUCCACGCUACAGUCGAACCGUUCAUGACCAUCUCCAUUCCUGAUACAUUUUCUGAGGAAACAAUCCAAGAGAAACAAAAAGUUACAUGCAUAAAAAUUUCCCUUAGAAUGUUUUAUGGAAUUGUGGCCAGAGGAGCAAAUGGAAGGGACACGAGAAGGGAGCUAUUUCAGUACGUUCUGGUCCAAUACGUUCUGUAGAAGCCCAGGCCUGCUCUACGAUGGGAACUCUGGACGUUACGCUGGACACGAAGCCCUGUAGAUGGCAAAGCUAAACGGACAAGGCAGAAGAGAACACGAUGUGUGCUCCACGACGGCAACAGCGUGACAAGGCACAUUUGCCCAUGUGUGCUCAAAACUGAAGGGAAAGAUGCAAAAACAGAAAUAACUUUUACUAACAAGCAGGAUCUGGGUGAACGUUUUUUUUUAACCAGUAGUGUUCUCAACGCUGCCAAGGCUCUACCUUGUCAAUAAAAGCUGUGCGAGGUGCUGAGGGCAUAGCCCACGGCGGGGAGGGGGCCCACAGGCCAGCUGGGGAGUCGGAGUGGCUCGGCCGCACUCCGCCUGCCGACAGUGGCCAGCGGACUCCCCUCCUGGCCAGUCCCGGGGCUCCUUCAGCUUGAAGCAGAUGCGAGGCCCUGCGCGCAGGUUCCUGUGAGCAUCGCACGGGGAAGGGGGACUUCCGCCCUGACUCCAGACAGCCUGAAUCCUGAAGAUCCAACAUGUUGGGGAAGUUUUCCCAAACUUGCCCAGAGUGCUGAUGACACCACCGAGACGAGACGCGGGCAGGACUGGGGUGGCGGUGAGCACGUAUACACCAUAAGCUUUUCUAGAGGAAACGAGAUGCAAAUGAGUAAAGGGCAGGAAGGAGAGAAACAAAUGCUGAAGUGUUGGGUGAUAGAUUUUCUCAGAUGGUUAAGACAAAAAAAGACAGUGCAAUUAGCCGGCUUCCUCAGUCCGCAGAGGCCCUCAUUACAGUGGAAUGAGCACGGGCUUUGGCAUGAGACCAGCUUCCCUCGCUGGCUCCACUGUUUCCCGGCUGUGUGACUGUGGGGCAAGCCACUUCUCCUCUCUGAUCCUGAGAUUCUUAGCUCAAGUGAUCAGAGAAGCCCGUCACGCUUUCCUGAGGGAAGGGAGAGGUGUGAAGCGGGGAUGUCCUGCGGGCGGCACCGCAGAGCCAUCCUUCUGCUCUGAGGAGAAAACCAUACGAUGAAAGAUCCUUUUCUUCCUGCCUACUUCCUUUCUUCAGCUUUGGACAUUGUCAUGUGAGGAUUUAAUGCCUGGAUCUGCAGCAGCUAUUUUGUGAGAUGAGGCAAAGAGCAUGAGAAUGGAAGCUGGUGUGCUAAGAGCGGUACAGAAGGACGAACAGAUUUUGUGUGACACUAUCAUUGAGCUACUGAACCAACCCUGGAACUACUUUUUUCUGUGCUUUUUGUUAAGGAAACAAUAAAGCCUUUCUCUUAAAAAAGGUAA